UGCUGGGGUUACAGGCAUGAGCCACAAAGUUUUGAUGCCAUCUCUUUCAUAAAUCAAUAUCAUGUGGUCUGUUUCUGGGUUGUUUCUAUAUUCUGUUCCAUUGUUUUAUUGUCUGUUCCUGUCUGAAAGUUGACCUUUUUCAUGUAAAUUAAGUAAGUACCUCUGACCCCCAAAUUUUACUGGGAUUUUGGUGAGAAUGGUAUUAAAAAUCAUAGACUAGUUUGGAGAGAAUGAGAGUCUUUGCAAUGGUAAAGAGUCCCCACAUGAGCAUGCCUUCUGUCUGCAUGUAUUCUUUAAGUGCAUCAGGACCAUCAACCCAAAGUGUUGUACAGGGCCUGCUGCAUCACCUGACAGGCUUUGAAAUGUCAACGCAGGCUCCGCCCCACCCCCGAGCUACCGAAUCAGAAUCUGCUUUUUAAAC
rnacentral:lncRNA from 10 species